CUGUCACUNCCUGUCACGGCUGAAUGCAAGGAACUAACCGUCUCCUGUCUAUUGAAACCGGAAGGCAGCCUACAAGUCGGCAUCCUGGAGCCCGUCAGUAAGAAGUCUCAGAAGUUCGUGAUCACGAGGAGCGAUGACUGCGAGAGCAGUUGAGGCUGACUUUUUUAACCUGUAACUUCUUACGUGAACAUGUAAUGAAGAAAACGAUACUUGCAGUGCCACUUCUUGUCCUUGUGAGAUAACUUCUUUCGUAUUGAGGUAUUGAGACUUUUUUUACGGGUGUUCGCUGUUGAAGGGCGACGUGUUAGCAUGAUUAUUACAUACAAAUUUUACUUGAAUCUUUGUUCAAAUUCUCCGUUUCUAGUUGAUUAUGAACGGGAUCAUAGCGACAGUUGUUCUACAAUCUUGACAGAUUGCCUUAUUUUAUUUGACUUCAUUAAAUAUAUUACUUGGA
rnacentral:lncRNA from 1 species